CCUGCAAUAGGUGCCAUGGCGAUUUCCUGUUUACCUUUCUGGCUGCGAGGCGUGCGUUAAACGUCGAAGCUUCAGCGCUGUUCUACAUUAUAUUGUGAAAUGUAUGUAGAUACAUACGUGGCUGUCAUAUUUUGCACUAUCCGGAACAUCGAGCGUCAAUAUUUUAUGUGCGACACUUCGCCUACUGGUCGUCAGAAGAUAAACCUGACUCGCAUAGAUCAUUUCUUGGGGCCAUCUUCUGCUUCAGUUUCUUACACUUGGAUCUUCAGCAAAUGUCGACAUUGCUCUGGAGCUUACAGCGCCAAUUGAGAGCACAGACUCCGCAGGUCUUCCUUUGGCCAGAUCCCUUGGAGGCCUCAUGUAACAUAAGCAUUGUGAAUGCUGACUCAGCAUAUUGCUUCCUCAUCAUACUUUUUAUAGAUAGCCUGCAAAAAAAGGGGGAGUGGGGAUGAAUACCCAAAAGGGCGGUGCCACCUUACAAAUAUUGAGGCAUCACUCUCACUCCCAAUAACAGCACAUUUGAAAUUCAAGACCACAGAAAUAAAGCGAUUGGGGAACAAUUUCUUCCUAGAAGUGAUAAACAACCAGGUAAAAAGCAAUUUGCCACUUUCAAAUAAAAAAACAAGCUUUUGAC